rnacentral:tRNA from 1 species
UGGGGUAUCGCCAAGUCGGUGAAGGCACAAGACUUUGACUCUUGUAUUCGCAGGUUCGAGUCCCGCUACCCCAGCCA